rnacentral:rRNA from 1 species
GGGGGGGGGGGGGGGGGGGGGGGGGGGGGGGGGGGGGGGGGGGGGGGGGGGGCUGGGGGCGGGGGUGGGCGGCGGGCGGGUGGGGGAUGCCUAGGGGGCUGCCUGGGAGUGGGGGCUAACGUCCGGGCGCGGGCGCUAAUCCCGCAUACGUCCUGAGGGGGCAAGUGGGGGAUCUUCGGACCUCCCGCUAUCAGAUGAGCCUAGGUCGGAUUAGCUAGUUGGUGGGGUAAAGGCCUACCAAGGCGACGACCCGUACCUGGUCUGAGAGGAUGAUCAGUCACACUGGAACGGAGACACGGUCCAGACGCCUACGGGAGGCAGCAGUGGGGAAUAGUGGACAAUGGGCGAGAGCCGGAUCCAGCCAUGCCGAGUGUGUGAAGAAGGUCUUCGGAUGGGAAAGCACUUUAAGUUGGGAGGAAGGGCAGUAAGUUAAUACCUUGCUGUUUUGACGUUACCAACAGAAUAAGCACCGGCUAACUUCGUG